rnacentral:rRNA from 1 species
ACUCAAAUGAAUAGACGGGGCCCCGCACAAGCAGUGGAUUAUGUGGUUUAAUUCGAAGCUACGCGAAAAACCUUACCAGGGCUUGACAUGGAGCGGACCGGUAUAGAGAUAUGCCUUCUCCUUCGGGAGUCGCUCACACAGGUGGUGCAUGGUUGUCGUCAGCUCGUGUCGUGAGAUGUUGGGUUAAGUCCCGCAACGAGCGCAACCCCUAUUGUUAGUUGCUACGCGAGAGCACUCUAGCGAGACUGCCGUUGACAAAACGGAGGAAGGCGGGGACGACGUCAAAUCAUCAUGCCCCUUAUGUCCUGGGCUACACACGGAAUACAAUGGCGUUUAACAACGGGAAGCAAAGCCGUGAGGUGGAGCAAAUCCCCAAAAGGCGUCUCAGUUCGGAUCGUAGGCUGCAAUUCGCCUGCGUGAAGUCGGAAUUGCUAGUAAUCGCGGAUCAGAAUGUCGCGGUGAAUACGUUCCCGGGGCUUGUACACACCGCCCGU